UUUUUCAAACCCUAAAAUUGCCCCCUUCUCUCUUCUCUCUCUCACCCUCUCUCAAAGCCGCCGCCGCUCCACCACUGCCACCACCGUGCGCCGCCGCCGGUAGUGGUCCAAUCGGCCCCAUUUUUUCACCCUAUGUUCUCCUUAACCCCCUCUUUCCGAAUAUCCAAGCUAAAUUCCCUAAAAAUCCCUCAAAACCCACGAAUUUUAGAUCUAGGAAACCCUAGCCGCCACCUUUUUGCCCAAAUCCGUGAAGCUCCGGCCACCACCACCCUACAACACCUAUAUCAACGAAUAGAGCUCCUCAAGACCUAUCUAUUGAUGUCAAUUUUACCCCGAAACUCCGGAGAUAAAUUUCCCGGCAACUCGCCAGCCGCGGCAACCACCACCAAACACGCUAUUUCUCUGUCUUUACUUCUUUCGACCCAAGAAUCCUCUUUUCCUUCCGGCUUAAUGCUGGAAUCCCUUUGUUUCAGCAUUUGCCGGAAUGAAAUGGGUGUUUCAAGGUCGGACAGCUGUUGGUGGUGUUACCCGAUACCUCCUUAUUGCUCGAGUUAGUAUUCAAUCCCCUCGUGUGGUAUUUUCUCAACUGUUGUACUACUUUUUGGAUCAAGAUUGAAUGGAAAUGAAGUGAUUCAAGUCCUUUUAGUAUAUUGUGUUUGUGUAUGACAUGUUUAAAUGAUGUUUGGGUUGUUGUUUAUAUUGCUUGAAUACUUACUAUAUUAAGAUUCUGUUUAUGCCUAAGUAGGAACCGGUAAUUUAGUGUUAGUAUUCAAAGCUUGCAUCCUUAUCACUUCUACUUUAGGUUAUUGAUUAAAAUCAGUUGAGAAGGCUUCUAUAUCUUGCUGAAAUUUUUAUGUUGUUAACUUGUAGAUAGAUUUUUUAAGAUAAGUGCACUUUAAGCUUAAAGCUCUAGUGCUCAAUAAUAGUGGAGUUUUUUUUUCA